rnacentral:rRNA from 1 species
GUAGGUGGCAAGCGUUGUCCGGAAUUAUUGGGCGUAAAGCGCGCGCAGGUGGGUUCUUUAAGUCUGAUGUGAAAGCCCCCGGGCUCAACCGGGGAGGGUCAUUGGAAACUGGGGAACUUGAGUGCAGGAGAGGAAAGUGGAAUUCCACGUGUAGCGGUGAAAUGCGUAGAUAUGUGGAGGAACACCAGUGGCGAAGGCGACUUUCUGGCCUGUAACUGACACUGAGGCGCGAAAGCGGGGGGAGCAAACAGGAUUAGAUACCCUGGUAGUCCACGCCGUAAACGAUGAGUGCUAAGUGUUGGGGGGUUUCCGCCCCUCAGUGCUGCAGCUAACGCAUUAAGCACUCCGCCUGGGGAGUACGGUCGCAAAGACUG